rnacentral:rRNA from 2 species
CUUGCUGUUGGUGGAUGAGUGGCGAACGGGUGAGUAACACGUGAGUAACCUGCCCCUGAUUUCGGGAUAAGCCUGGGAAACUGGGUCUAAUACCGGAUACGACCUCCUGACGCAUGUUGGGUGGUGGAAAGUUUUUCGAUCGGGGAUGGGCUCGCGGCCUAUCAGCUUGUUGGUGGGGUAAUGGCCUACCAAGGCGACGACGGGUAGCCGGCCUGAGAGGGCGACCGGCCACACUGGGACUGAGACACGGCCCAGACUCCUACGGGAGGCAGCAGUGGGGAAUAUUGCACAAUGGGGGAAACCCUGAUGCAGCGACGCAGCGUGCGGGAUGACGGCCUUCGGGUUGUAAACCGCUUUCAGCAGGGAAGAAGCGAAAGUGACGGUACCUGCAGAAGAAGUACCGGCUAACUACGUGCCAGCAGCCGCGGUAAUACGUAGGGUACGAGCGUUGUCCGGAAUUAUUGGGCGUAAAGAGCUCGUAGGUGGUUGGUCACGUCUGCUGUGGAAACGCAACGCUUAACGUUGCGCGUGCAGUGGGUACGGGCUGACUAGAGUGCAGUAGGGGAGUCUGGAAUUCCUGGUGUAGCGGUGAAAUGCGCAGAUAUCAGGAGGAACACCGG